AAAUCAAAUAGUAGUUGAAGGUCAUUUCCAAAAGUAGGAGGGAAUUUCUAGAAUUUCUGAAGGAAUUCAGACGUGAAUGUAAUUGACCAAAACAUUAGCUCGCAGCCGAUAGCUGAUAGCUCCGAUAAUUACUAAACUGAGAAAGUGCAGCGAACAUGUUCGGAAGGAGAAGAUUUUUGUCGUUUCCGAUGGUAAUUGGCGCUGUUAUAAUUGGAGUUGUAUCUGGGAAAGCUAUAUUUGCACAACCACUUGAUGAAUAUUGGAAGAAGAAACUUCAGGAGGAACCAGCAGCAAAAGAAAAUGAUGGAAGCACCUCAUAGUGUUUGAUUGGGCGCCCAUCUAAGCUGAACACCGUUGUAUUUUUCUGUUGGCAGUUACUCUUUAGAAAUGCUUUGUGCAUCCACAUCCACAUCCAUAUCCAAAUAGUUAAUGACAUCAUGCUUUUGAAAUUCCUCCCCUCAGUUGCUUCUACGAGACUACUCAUCAAACUUAUCCACUUCUUUUCUUGUCGAAAUAGAUAUGCAAAAGCUACCAAUGGGCAAUACAGCUCGGGAGACAUAUUACAUGACAAUUUGGAUAAAUUUGUCGUUGUGUUAUUUUACGUCUCUUUUAUUUUCUUCCUUUUCUCUGCUCGCUUACUGCAUCUGACUGAUGCAGCCUGAAACUUGAAAGCCGUUCUCUUUUAGUAUUUGGAUGGAGAACCAAAUUGAUCAUCUUAGAAAGCAUGCUGAUGACUGAAACAUAUUUAUUCAUUUUUAAUUUUGAA